rnacentral:lncRNA from 1 species
GAUUGGUAGAAGACAUUGUAGACUGAGAUCAGAGUUGAAACUUAUUCUGUGUACUCACUUUUUCACCUUUACUCUUUCUGUACAGGUUACCUACAUUUGAGACAAUUUUCUAGUCCACAGAAACACAGACUCCAAUAUUACAGCUGUGACAAUUGCUUAAAAAGAACUAUAAUAGAAUCUCUGAAAACAAGUACUGCACAUGUGUAUCACAUUUUGGGAAGACACGUAUGAUGAGGAAUGCUGUGAGGAGAGAUUUGCGUUUGUGCCUGAUGUGUGCAGGAAAAGAAAAAGGGAGCAGGAAGCUGAUACCUUGGCGGACGAGCUGAUGGAAGAGCUGAGUGGAGGCUCCUGAGGGCAAUGUAAACCUGUACAAGAAGUCUCUGCAAAUGAGCUCUUUUUUUUUUAUCAUAUUUCUGCCAUGUUACUUGAAAAUAUCUAUUUCAUCAUGUGUCAUAAGAUCAGUUCUCAUAAACUGUUUACAGAUUCUACACAUGUGUGAGUCUUAACAUGUAUUUAUAUCCUUUCUAUAUUAGAGGGGUGAACAAAAUAAAGCAAGACAAAACAAAACAUAGUCCUAUAAACAAAUGAAACAAAAAAGACAUAUAAGACCAUUGUACAAGGAGUUCUAUCAUAGUUCCUGUGUUGUCUCUUGUUAUCUUCAAAAGAAUUGGCUAUAUCACCAGACAUAGUAUAACUGAAUGUAUUAGUACAUAACAGUAUUAAUAAAAACACAACUUUGUAUAUAGUAUAAAACUUCAAAAGCAGGCAGAAUGUGUAUUGUAUUGUAUUGUAUUAUCAAACCAGAAUGUGUAUUGUAGAGUCUUGUCAUCUUCAGUGUAAGUUGCCUGUACUCUCAGACUUGAUACUAUCAAUCAUAUCAGUUUUGAAUAAAAUCUGUCAAUACCAAACAGCAAUCAAACAAACCAGAUUUAACUAAGAUCAAUCAUGAUAAAACAGUAUAAGUCAUACAGGGCUCCAGAUUAAGAUAAUAGGAAAUUAAAGAUGAUUAUUGUGCUAUAUCCUGCUGUUUUUGGGAUAGCUCUCUGUGUCCUCAAAUCUAAUGCAAGUAGACAAACUGGA